AGACAGCUCCAAAGAAGAUAGUGUUUCCCCUGGCAUUGUGACCAGUGUGAGAAGGUAGAUGCUAACCUUUUACUGUUUUAUUUCUGUAGUUACUUGAUUACAUACACAGAGAACUUCUAAUGGAAAUAUCAUCAUAUUUUUCUUUUGGCUUCAUGGAUUUUCCCAGACUUCAUCUACUCUUCACAAAUAGCACAAACAUCCGAUAUAAUCUUCAACUUUCAUUGUUUGUUUUUAAAAUACCUGUAGUGUCACGUAAGACUUAUCGCAUGAGUUGUUGGCUAUCGAUGAGGGAUCCUAACUCAGCAGCCUAGACAUGAUUCCAAUAGUCACUUCUGUUUAUUUUAUAUUUUCAAUCUCAUUUUUAACAUCUGCAGGUCUGCAGGAGGCUCUGGCAAAGCUUCUUCACCCCUAAGUACCACAUCAGAAAGUGUGACAUUAAAUCCUGUCAGUCAGAGGCCAAAGGUAUUGGUGGAUUGUGGCAUCCAGAGGGAACAGUCCGUAUUCUUUCAAUCAGUUCAGCUUUAGGAGAAGGAAGAAAAGGUAACUUUUUUUUUUGAAUUUGCUUUUAAACACACUUUUUAAAUUUAGAAAAUGUGGGAUUUAAAAGAGGACCUGUUCAAAUGUUCAUUGAAAAUCUCCAAUUUAUUUUUCCAAUGCUAACUUAAAGCAGAAUGCCCAUACUCUUGUAGUUUGAGAUAAGCUCGGAAGAAAUGGCACCAAGCUUGCAGAGGCAGGAAUGCCAAAGUUGGGAGGGACUUGAUAAACACAGUGCCUGUAUGUUAAUUCUGCUGCUUCUACUUCCUCCAAGUUAUCUGUUGCCAUACAUGCUCCAUAAUCAGGGCAAAGAUUCAGUUAUUAUCUUCCUAAUUCAUGUAGUCUGAAAUUUUCUUUUGGAAUAAGCAAUUGGAAUCAACCUUUCAAGUCAUCAUUAGUUUCCUUAAAUUGGAAACUUCAUCUAUUAACUUAUUUAUUUAUAAGCUGAGUUUCUUCGCUGCAUUCUGAUCUUUAACACACUCACUGAGGAGAGUAGAUUUUGCAUGGUAAGCAUCUUACUUCCUCACUUCCUUUUUUGCUGGCCUUUUGUGUUCCUCCUUUUUGUCAUAAAUAUCAUCAGAAGGACAUUUGGCAACAUUAAGCACAAAUGUAAAAGGCAGGUACAGAGAAGCACUGUAGCCUUUGCUUUUUCCUUGUCCUCCUCUUUUAAUAAACGUGCGAAAUAGGAGUAGGUUUCCCUUUGAAAAUGUGUCAAGAGAAAAGCAUGGGAAACGUUCCUAGGAAUAUUUUGAUUACAACAUUCUAAACGAAAAGCUUCAUUCCAAAAAGUAGUAUCAUUUUGGUUUUGGAAAUGGGAAGGCUAAGGGAUUUUAUUGAGUUUUCAAUCAGUUCCUCUUCCAUAGUCAUCAGUCUUUCUGUAGGCACACGAAAGAGCCAUGUUUUGCCUUGUUUGGCUUUUGUUUUGGUUUUGGAAUAUUAAAUAGCUGAUAAAUAGCUGAGGGCAAGGAGAAACUUUUGCCAAAGUUUGGUAUGUUUUUAUCUGUGACUAGUCUCUCUAAGAAUGCAAGACAACAAGGAGUUUCUCGUAUGUAAUAAGAGAACUCUCUCACAUGCACUUUUAGAGAUGCCCCUUUUGUGAGCUGAAGUGCAGCGUUAGGCUAUUCAGAUCAGCUGUGACAGAGUAGCUAUAGCAUAAGGUAUGAUGAUUAAAUUUUAAUAUCUACAUGUUACCAUACUGAGGGCUAUCAAAGUUAUUCGUCGGAGGUUUCUCCACACAUUUCUGCAGGCACAACUUAUUUUGUGCCUUUGAAUGAAAAUGCUGACAUAGUUGUCAAAACAGUCUGAGGAAUUCAAUGCAGCAGCACCAUUCCUGUCUUCCUAAGCAUAGACCAUGCAGAACCCUUUUUGAACCCUGUAGGCUACCAGCAAAACUGUUCAGGCUUGUACAUUGAGCCUGCCACAGAGGUAAAGCUACGCCUCCGGUGACGCAGAUGGAUAGAUGAAGUUUAAAAAACAGAUCUACUGGAUGGAAAACUGUUUGUCUUAAUGCAUCCAUGUAACAGUUAUCCUGAACGGGUGCAGUCAGUGCUGCACUAGGCAAAUUCAAGUGUGGCUACUCAUUCUGAGGGGCCAUUCUGGGUCUGCAAAAUCCUAAAUCUUUAAUGAGAAAGCUAUUCCAGAUACAGCGAAAUAUGAUGCUUGUUUAGCAUUUGACAUAGUGUUAUCUAAAGAACCUGUGAGAUUUCCAGAUACUUUUUUUUUUUCAGCUGGAAAAAUUGAGGCACAGCGUAAGCUGUGGAAAAUUCUGUGUUUUCCAGUCCUCUCACAGUGCUACCUCACCUUUGGGCUGGGCUUAGAGGUACCUUGCCCCAGCGCUGUGACAGCUGUGCUCUAAGCAGGUGCAAGACUUCGAGGUCAUGAGCCACCUGUGCUCUUCCAUAGCACAAAAUGUGAUCAAGGAAAGCCUUCUUUUGUAGCAUUUGAAUGCAAGGAUGCUAGUGGUUGUGGGGGGCUUUGUACAAUGUGGUCUCAGAAUAUAACAUCAUUCUAAUUACAGGCAGAUAGAUGCGUUAGUAUGUAUAGUUUUUUGUAUUUCAGUUCUUAGACAUUUAAGUAAGUACAUUGCCUGGGGAGCAUUCCUUCAUAAUGCAGAAAACACAAGUGAUUCACUUCAUAGCUACUACUUCUCUAGUUAGAGGAGCAAGAAGGCACGAGGCAGGUGCGGAAAGGCAGCACAGAGGAAGAGUGUGUGACUGCAGGUGUAACUUGCAGCACCUCCACUAGCUGCAGCGGAGAGAAGUGCACUUCCAGCACAGGGUGGGGAAGAGCUGAAGGGUGCAGCUGCCAGGCUUGGGCCUCCUCCCCUCCUUGAGGCUGUGCAGUACAGUUACUUCACAAUUAAUAGCAAUUAGUCACAAGCUUCAGCCCCGCCCUGUCUUGAGAACUGCUGGGUACAAGAUGGCACCAAAGAGGAAAAGGGAAAGUGCCUCUUUUCAGGGCAACAAGGUUGCCAGCUCACGUUAUCAAGUAUUGUCUCAGAAGAAGCUUGGAAAGAAAAACAAAAAGCUUUGUUUCUUACAAAGCCUAUUUUUGCUUCCUCUAUAGUCCCCUGCACAGCACUUUGGAUGAGUGUCCGAAGUAGGAAUGAUGAGUGGGGUGCUUAGGAAGAGCCAUCACAAAGUAGAGAAGUGAUCCCGAAAUUCUUGCUGGGAUACCUGAGUGAAAGCCUUUAUACUCACAUUUAUGCUCACCUUCUUUUUCUUACGUAUAUGUACUUAUUUUUUAAAAUGCAGCAGAAGGUCUAAAUAGCAACAUAGGGAGAAAAAGAGAGUUUGGGAUGCAUCUGGCCAAUACAAUUAUGCUUUCUGGCCAAAAGCUAAACAGGAGUGGGUGCAGAGUCUCAGCAACAGAAAACAGAAGAGAGCUGAGCAAGUGAAGCAAGUAAAGGAGCUUUUACCCCCAUAAAUAGCUAUAUCCCCAUUUAAUAGUCUCCAGUGUAUGUAACAUCUGUGUCCCCCAUGGGCAGUGAAGGAAAAGGAGAAUGGUUCCGUUGUCUUCUUAGUGUGAGCAUUGUCUUAUCAAUUGUCUUUACCUUAUAGGAACUUACAAUCACUGAGAUCACAUUCCACAUCUCAAAUAUGGCUUCAGGGGAGGUUAAAAAGCCACUGGCAAGACCUUGAGAGGUCACAGAGAACUUGCUUCCUUAGAAAACCUGACUUGAAAAAAAUCCAGUUUCAUCUUUCUUUCCAAAAAUAUAGGCAGGACUUGGGAAAGAUGAAAAAGAAUAUAAAUAGCAGACAGAAAGUUCGAAGCGGCAGCAGGUGAUUGGCUGCAGGGAGGGGAGUGCAGGAAUGCCUGCUCAAGGACAAGCUCAAGCACAGCCAACAUGGCUGGGGGCUUUAGCUGCAGCUGCCUUUGUCUUUACAGAGUUGCCGCCCUUCGAAGAGAACACUGCCUGACCACCCUGAACUCUCUUGCAAAUCAGGAAGAUGAGAGAUCAGGCUUUCUCUAUUUGCUGCAUUUCUGUUUCAGGCAUUCAGAGAUCUUUGCCCCCAUCUGCUUCCGGUUUGCACUUUCAGGGUCCAGCCAAGCAGCUGCAUGUGAAGUUGGUGUCUCUUUGACAGGUGUUGCCUGCCAUGUGUGCAGUUUGCGUAUGUGUGAAGGGAGCUGCUUGAUUGUGAAUGUGUUUCUCAGAAGAGCAAGUACACCCAGAAUUGCCCUGGAGAAAGCCUGUGGGAGAUCCUAGGGCAGAUGGCCUCCCUUCUCUACCCCAGUCGGAGACCCGAGCAGGGGAUCAGUGUAAGCAUCCUGCUGCAGCUGUCACAUUCCCUGUGCCUCAGCUUAGAGAAAUUCUGUCAUGUGAGAUUUGGCAUGGGACAGUGUGCUCCUCUGCCUUCCAGGCCCAGCACAGGCAAAAGUCAAGCAGCACUUCCUUUUCGGAAGGCAGAUUUUGCCAUUUGAGAGACCGGUCCCACUCCUCCAUUGCUGGUGGAAGUCACCACUGUCACUGAGAGAUGUGAGAAAUGGGGGUGUAAAGCCCCACGGUACACUCAGCAGCUCUCCCGUGCCAGUGCUGUCUGUUGCUAAGGAGCUCCAGAAAGCAGGAGAGUGCGGCUGUGGAACCGGAGGGCUCCAGGUAGCAGGGAUGCUGACAUCUGGGGAUGCAGGGAGGGGCAGGCAGCAGGCGUCCUCCCUGGCGUGCUGUCCCCGUGCGUGCACCGUACCUUCAGCAGGAAGGUCUGCAUGGGCUCCUUCCACACGUCAAAGGUGAAUGACCCAAGGGGAACCUCCUUGUCUCCGUCCAUAUCCAGUCCC